UCUCUCCCUCUCUCUCUCUCUCUCUCUCUCUCUCUCUCUCUCUCCUAUAGAUUAUUCGUUUCUCGUCUUACGUCGACUUCCCAUCAAUUGAUACUUUACAUUCUACAAUGGAUUUUUGAGUGAGUGGGUGAGAGAGAGAGAGAGAGAGAGAGAGAGAAAAAGGGAGAGA
rnacentral:miRNA from 1 species